rnacentral:rRNA from 1 species
GUGGGGAAUUUUGGACAAUGGGGGCAACCCUGAUCCAGCCAUGCCGCGUGUGUGAAGAAGGCCUUCGGGUUGUAAAGCACUUUCGGACGGAACGAAAUCGCACGAUCUAACAAGUCGUGCGGCUGACGGUACCGUAAGAAGAAGCACCGGCUAACUACGUGCCAGCAGCCGCGGUAAUACGUAGGGUGCGAGCGUUAAUCGGAAUUACUGGGCGUAAAGUGUGCGCAGGCGGUUGAGCAAGUCGAGUGUGAAAGCCCCGGGCUUAACUUGGGAAUUGCGCUCGAAACUACUUGACUGGAGUGUGGCAGAGGAAGGUGGAAUUCCACGUGUAGCGGUGAAAUGCGUAGAGAUGUGGAGGAACACCAAUGGCGAAGGCAGCCUUCUGGGCCAACACUGACGCUCAUGCACGAAAGCGUGGGGAGCAAACAGGAUUAGAAACCCUUGUAGUCC